GAUGAACGCUGGCGGCGUGCCCAAUACAUGCAAGUCGAGCGAACAGACGAGGAGCUUGCUCCUCUGACGUUAGCGGCGGACGGGUGAGUAACACGUGGAUAACCUACCUAUAAGACUGGGAUAACUUCGGGAAACCGGAGCUAAUACCGGAUAAUAUAUUGAACCGCAUGGUUCAAUAGUGAAAGACGGUUUUGCUGUCACUUAUAGAUGGAUCCGCGCCGCAUUAGCUAGUUGGUAAGGUAACGGCUUACCAAGGCAACGAUGCGUAGCCGACCUGAGAGGGUGAUCGGCCACACUGGAACUGAGACACGGUACAGACUCCUACGGGAGGCAGCAGUAGGGAAUCUUCCGCAAUGGGCGAAAGCCUGACGGAGCAACGCCGCGUGAGUGAUGAAGGUCUUCGGAUCGUAAAACUCUGUUAUUAGGGAAGAACAAAUGUGUAAGUAACUAUGCACGUCUUGACGGUACCUAAUCAGAAAGCCACGGCUAACUACGUG
rnacentral:rRNA from 1 species